GAUGAACGCUAGCGGCAGGCUUAACACAUGCAAGUCGAGGGGUAGAGGAAGCUUGCUUCCUUGAGACCGGCGCACGGGUGCGUAACGCGUAUACAAUCUACCUUUUACAGAGGGAUAGCCCCAGAGAAAUUUGGAUUAAUACCUCAUAGUAUUUUCGAAUCGCAUGGUUUUGAUUAUUAAAGUUCCAACGGUAAAAGAUGAGUAUGCGUCCCAUUAGCUAGAUGGUAAGGUAACGGCUUACCAUGGCAAUGAUGGGUAGGGGUCCUGAGAGGGAGAUCCCCCACACUGGUACUGAGACACGGGACCAGACUCCUACGGGAGGCAGCAGUGAGGAAUAUUGGACAAUGGGACGCAAGGCCUGAUCCAGCC
rnacentral:rRNA from 1 species